rnacentral:rRNA from 1 species
AUACGGAGGGUGCAAGCGUUACUCGGAAUCACUGGGCGUAAAGCGCGCGCAGGCGGGCUGAUAAGUUGGAUGUGAAAGCCUACGGCUCAACCGUAGAACUGCAUCCAAAACUGUCAGUCUAGAGUCUGGGAGGGGAAGAUGGAAUUAGUUGUGUAGGGGUAAAAUCCGUAGAGAUAACUAGGAAUACCAAAAGCGAUGGCGAUCUUCUGGAACAGUACUGACGCUGAGGCGCGAAAGCGUGGGGAGCAAACAGGAUUAGAAACCCUAGUAGUCC